AUAAUUCAGCCUAUAUCUCAAUUUUAAGCCUGGGUGGGAUUCUAAAAAGUCAGUUGAGAUUUAGCCAAGCCUCCUCCUCGCUGUGACAGAAACUUCACAAAAUAUCCUAUGGGAGCAGAUCCCUAGAGAGUGUGGCUGAGUCUCCUCAGCAUCUGUAGCCUUGGGAAAACUGGAUGCAUCAUCGACUCAGGGAACGCAAUCAGUGAGCGUCUUCUUGAAACGUUGAGACCCUGUAUGCGGUGGUUGGAAUGAGAACGGCCUCCCUAGACACGUCUUCAGAACAAUAGAGAGCAGGGACAUUCUAUGUUGUUUGAAGUGUUGUCACCUGAUCAUAGCUAGCAAAAGAGGACACCAAGAACAAAUGAAUCCUUCCCUGGAGCUCCUGGGCUACUGUUCAAAAAAGGUUUUGUGACCUUUGUUUGUUUAUUUGUUUGUCACAUAUUUUUUCCAUCAUACAGUUAUCAUCUGCCCUGUGCGAUAGGAGGCUGGACCUUGGAGAUGUUCCUGGUAAAUGGCGGCAGUGGAUUUUCCUUCCUGUAAAACCAGAGGCAGAAAGGCAUUACAGGCAUGAACCAUCACAUCAUGGUUAUCACAGGAUGUAUUUGAAUAGAAUUUCCUGUGAUCUACUUCUGAGGUGAAGGGCUGGCUGUAAGGGCUGUCUUUCUGGGCAAGCACAUGGCUGCAGUCAGCGUCCUUCGAGAGAGCAUGGGGAGGAUGCUCACUGGCUAACAUUGCCUCACGUCUACAUCCUACACUCUGAGGUCACAGUGCUCUCUCUGAGCUCUGCUGGGAAGGGAUCUUACUAAAGAAAGGCAGAAACACAGGUACCCGCCUCCCAGUGGAUGCUGCAGUGUUAUCAGAAGUGUUAAAGAUUUGAGGAGAUUAAUCUUGAGACCCGUACAGAUCUCAAAGUGGUCCACACAAGUGUACUGUCACGUGCUGGGGCUGGCUCACUGGAGCCUGAGGUACCUCUCCUACGUCCUAUGUUACAGCAGUGAGCUAGAGAAAAAAGUGAAAGAGUUCUGAAUCUAUGCGCGGCACGCGGGGGAGAAGGGGUCUUCCUGCUAGAAGGAACAAACAAGUAUCUGGGCUCGUGGGUGAGACAGAGAUAAGACAGGAGUAGAAGAGAGAGCAGCGAUAGCCAACAGGCGCUCAUAGCUUCUGCUUUAAACCAAGCUCAGAGGAGAGAAGGCUCAUCUGUCCUGCUGCUGAGGCAUUCCUUCGCCGGGGUUAGAAAUGGCUUCUGCAGGAUCCAAGGUAGACUGAAGACCAGCAGCUCUCCAGAAAUCCUCUAGCACUCCAUUUAGACGUAAGCAAAGGCUUGGUAUUGAACCUGUCGGAAGACACCCGUGUGCAGGGUAACGAGAGCCUGUGAUAGAAGAAGACAGAUCAGAAAAUACAAGGUCCCCUGAGAACUGAGGCCCCGAAGGGCUUUUGGAAAAGCAAAGUGAACGAAAAAUCCACUCUGAUGGGACGUGAUGAGAGGUGGAGAAGCAAAGACUUGGGGCUUUUGAAAGUGAAGUGGAUUUUUGAAUGCUAAAAAAAAAAUCUGUAAUUUCCAGUUUUAAAGAACUGCCUAUAAGGAUAAUUGAACAAAUAAAAAGCUCACUUUUUGAACCUGGUAAAGGGUGUUUCAUUGACUUAAUGAGUUUUCAAUUCGAGACCUGUGAAUGAAAGAGAUAAUAUUGCAAAGAAAGGGGAUCAACAUAAUACCAGGUGUCACCUUUCCUGCCUUCCAAGGUUCUAAAAUCUGGGGAAAAUCUGGUAAAGAGAACCACCAGAAGUUUUGUUCAGUUGGUCUAUCUUCUCUGGGUUUGAGAAAUCAAAGAGCUUCACAGGGUGCCUGCUAUCAGACGUGAACGCUGGACUCAAUUUGAAACCCCUUCAACAGUUGACACAAGAUAGGGAAGUCAUCUGGGACACAUCUGGGAAGAAGGAACCUCAACUGAGAAAAGGCCUCCAUCAGACCAGCCUCUAGGCAAUUCUGUGGGGUCAUUUUGGUGAUGGCAUUCAUCACAGCAAGAGAAGGCAAACCAGGACAUAUUGCUCUGAAAGCUUGAUGUGACCUGGAACCUUUCAGCACCUGGAUCCCACAAGCAAACAGAAGUUUAAAAAAAAAAAAAAAAAAAGAUGAUCUGGAUGUGUGUUUCCAUGAAAUUUCCGAUUCAGAUGUUUAGUUAGCGCCCAUGAGUAGAACAGAAGACAGGACAUCCGCCCAUAAAGGAUGAAGGAGAACCCUGAGAUUAUUUUCCUUGAAAAUGAAAAUAUGCA
rnacentral:lncRNA from 1 species